AGCGUUGUCCGGAUUUAUUGGGCGUAAAGAGCGUGUAGGCGGUUUGGUAGGUCCGCUGUGAAAACUCGAGGCUCAACCUCGAGACGCCGGUGGAAACCAUCAGGCUAGAGUCCGGAAGAGGAGAGUGGAAUUCCUGGUGUAGCGGUGGAAUGCGCAGAUAUCAGGAAGAACACCCGUGGCUAAGGCGGCUCGCUAGGACGGUACUGACGCUGAGACGCGAAAGCGUGGGGAGCGAACAGG
rnacentral:rRNA from 1 species